rnacentral:rRNA from 1 species
GACGAACGCUGGCGGCGCGCUUAACACAUGCCAGUCGAACGGAAAGGCCUGCUUUCCCUUGUGGAUUGCGGGUACUCGAGUGGCGAACGGGUGAGUAACACGUGAGUGAUCUGCCCCCAACUUGGGUAUAAGCCUGGGAAACUGGGUCUAAUUCCCGAUAGGACUGCAGGGUGGUGCCUGUGGUGGAAAACGAUUUUCUAGUGGUUGGGGAUGAGCUCGCGGCCUAUCAGCUUGUUGGUGGGGUAAUGGCCUACCAAGGCGGCGACGGGUAGCCGGCCUGGGAGGGUGGACGGCCACAUUGGGACUGGGAUACGGCCCAGACUCCUACGGGAGGCAGCAGUGGGGAAUAUUGCACAAUGGGCGGAAGCCUGAUGCAGCGACGCCGCGUGGGGGAUGACGGCCUUCGGGUUGUAAACUCCUUUCGACCGCGAGGAAGCCACCUGGUUGGAAGGGUGGUGACGGUAGUGGUAGAAGAAGCACCGGCUAACUACGUG